CCCAGGUGUUCCCACUCCCUGAUCAGGACUGAACACAGACCACUCACCAUGAGGUUUGGCCUCAGCUGGGUUUUCCUUGUAGCUAUUUUGAGAGGUGUCCAGUGUGAAGUGCAGCUGGUGGAGUCUGGAGGAGGCUUCGGGAAGCCUGAGGGGUCUCUGAGACUCUCCUGUUCAGCCUCUGGAUUCACCUCCAGUAGCUACUACAUGAACUGGGUCCGCCAGAAUCCAGAAAAGGGGCUAGAGUGGAUUUGUGCUAUUACUGCUAAUGGUGAGAGCACAUACUACGCAGACUCUGUGAAGGGCCGUUUCACCAUCUCCAGAGACAACGCAAAGAACACGAUAUAUCUCCAAAUGAACAGCCUAAGAUCCGAGGACACGGCUGUGUAUUACUGUGCAACAGGGUUAGGGUUUGAUUAUUGGUCAGGGCAUAUGCUGGGUUUGCAGUCUUGA